UACAGAGGGGGCAAGCGUUAUUCGGAAUUAUUGGGCGUAAAGGGCGCGUAGGCGGCCUGUUAAGUCGAACGUGAAAUCCCCGGGCUCAACCCGGGAACUGCGUCCGAAACUGGCAGGCUCGAAUUCGGGAGAGGGAUGCGGAAUUCCAGGUGUAGCGGUGAAAUGCGUAGAUAUCUGGAGGAACAUUGGUGGCGAAGGCGGCAUCCUGGACCGAUAUUGACGCUGAGGCGCGAAAGCCAGGGGAGCAAACGGG
rnacentral:rRNA from 1 species